AUGAGGGCAGGCCGUCGCUACUGAGCCGUGAUGUCAACCGCCCUGCCGA
rnacentral:snoRNA from 2 species